UACGUAGGGUGCAAGCGUUUGUCCGGAAUUAUUGGGCGUAAAGAGCUCGUAGGUGGUUUGUCGCGUUGUCCGUGAAAACUCACAACUCAAUUGUGGGCGUGCGGGCGAUACGGGCAGACUGGAGUACUGCAGGGGGAGACUGGAAUUCCUGGUGUAGCGGUGGAAUGCGCAGAUAUCAGGAGGAACACCGGUGGCGAAGGCGGGUCUCUGGGCAGUAACUGACGCUGAGGAGCGAAAGCGUGGGGAGCGAACAGG
rnacentral:rRNA from 1 species